GUGAACUUUGAGCAUUUGCUGUAACAAAAUCAGGAUUAUUUAUAUAAGAUUAAGCUUCCAGAAUGGCCUUGACAAGCUGAUUGUGUGUGAUGCUCACUGACAUGGGGCACAUGGUGAGGACACCAAGGGCAGAAGGACUGAGAAAGUGACAGAGCAAUGAGGAGC